UACGUAGGGGGCCAGCGUUGUCCGGAAUCAUUGGGCGUAAAGCGCGCGUAGGCGGUCAGGUAAGUCCGGUGUGAAAGUCAUAGGCUCAACCUAUGGAUGCCGCUGGAAACUGCCUGACUUGAGUCCGGGAGGGGCGAGUGGAAUUCCUGGUGUAGCGGUGAAAUGCGCAGAUAUCAGGAAGAACACCCGUGGCGAAGGCGGCUCUCUGGGACGGUACUGACGCUGAGGCGCGAAAGCCAGGGAGGGCGAAACAGG
rnacentral:rRNA from 1 species